GCUGUCAUGGAGACAGAAAACCAGAAGGAUUUCUUUCUCAUACUGAUAGAAAAAAACAGUGGCACCUGAAGCCCUCUUCUUUCCUGCAAAAACCCUGCAGAGAAGGACUUGGGAAAUCUGGUGGAUAGCAAUCUUGACACGAGCCAGCAGUGUGUUGUUGGCUGCCUGGAAGGCCAACCAUAUCCUGGGCUGCAUCAGGAGUAGCCAGCAACAAGGAGAAGGAGAUUGUUUGUCCCUCUUGACUCUCCCCAGCUGGACUAUUGCAUCAAGGCCUGGGAACUCCAGCACAAGAUGUGGAGCUGUUGAAGUAGGUCCAAAGGAGGGCCAUGAAGAAAGACUGAGGGAGCUGGACUUUCAGCUACAAGAGAAGGCUGUGGGGAAACCCCUUGGCAGCCUUCCAGCACGUAUCAUCCUUUUCCAGCGCACUGACAAGCAACGAGAAAAGAUAAGCAUCUGAAAACACAAGCUGAGUGGAAUUAAAAGGAGUAAAUAGUGCACUCGCUAGGAAGUAAUUAAAAGCCAUGAAGCAGGAAGAAGGCUGGAGGUGCCUAAAAGGCAUUAUAAUUAAAACCUAAUGCAUGUUAA